GGGGAUGCCAGGCUUCGACAAAUGUUCAUUUCAAAAAACAGCAGCCGAGCCGAUUGACUCGCUAAACCGAUCAAAAAACACAUAACUGCCAACAGAAAUGUUGCUCCCGUGUUCGCUUUUGCGUAAAUGCGGCAUCCUUCGCUGAUUGCUCAUAUUAGCAAUAAGGGUGUUAUAACUUGAGCUCGUUCCGGUUUCCGCCGAAAACCGGGAGACCUUUAGGCAAAAGGACUAAAAGUUUUUCGUCCCGAUUAUAUCUUUUAGCCCUUAAAAAUAUCGGGACUAAGCUUGUAGAAGUUUUUUAGAAAAACAUUUGGACGGGGCUUCAAUGCCCCCAUCUCCACAA
rnacentral:tmRNA from 1 species